UGGGGAAUUUUGGACAAUGGGCGAAAGCCUGAUCCAGCAAUGCCGCGUGUGUGAAGAAGGCCUUCGGGUUGUAAAGCACUUUUGUCCGGAAAGAAAUCCUUGGCUCUAAUACAGUCGGGGGAUGACGGUACCGGAAGAAUAAGCACCGGCUAACUACGUGCCAGCAGCCGCGGUAAUACGUAGGGUGCAAGCGUUAAUCGGAAUUACUGGGCGUAAAGCGUGCGCAGGCGGUUUGCUAAGACCGAUGUGAAAUCCCCGGGCUCAACCUGGGAACUGCAUUGGUGACUGGCAGGCUAGAGUAUGGCAGGAGGGGGGUAGAAUUCCACGUGUAGCAGUGAAAUGCGUAGAGAUGUGGAGGAAUACCGAUGGCGAAGGCAGCCCCCUGGGCCAAUACUGACGCUCAUGCACGAAAGCGUGGGGGAGCAAACAGGAUUAGAUACCCUGGUAGUCCACGCCCUAAACGAUGUCAACUAGUUGUUGGGGAUUCAUUUCCUUAGUAACGUAGCUAACGCGUGAAGUUGACCGCCUGGGGAGUACGGUCGCAAGAUUAAAACUCAAAGGAAUUGACGGGGUCAUAGCUG
rnacentral:rRNA from 1 species